CCUACGGGAGGCAGCAGUGGGGAAUAUUGCGCAAUGGGCGAAAGCCUGACGCAGCGACGCCGCGUGAGGGCUGAAGGUCUUCGGAUCGUAAACCUCUGUCAGCAGGGAAGCACGGUCACUGUGCUAAUCAGCAGUGAAUUGACGGUACCUGCAAAGGAAGCACCGGCUAACUCCGUUCCAGCAGCCGCGGUACUACGGAGGGUGCGGUCGUUAAUCGGAAUUACUGGGCGUAAAGCGCACGUAGGCGGUAUGUCAAGUCAAGGGUGAAAUCCCCGCGCUCAACGUGGGAACUGCCUUUGAAACUGGCAAACUGGAGUGUGUGAGAGGAUAGUGGAAUGCCAGGUGUAGGAGUGAAAGCCGUAGAUAUCUGGAGGAACAGCAGUGGCGAAGGCGACUAUCUGGCACAUAACUGACGCUGAGGAGCGAAAGCGUGGGUAGCAAACAGGAUUAGAUACCCCAGUAGUC
rnacentral:rRNA from 1 species